CUCUAGAUAUGGACAAUUUAAUAAAGAAAAUUUGAUUUUGUGAAUACUGGAGUUUAGUCUGGGUUAUACCAGUCAAUGCUUGAAAAAAUCACUAUCCGCUUGAUAUUUGGCUUUCGUACAACUAUGGCCCCGCACCCCCCUGUAUUUGAUUCUUUUCUGUCUUACUCGGAAAUUUCUAGCCAACGCAUGCAGGCUGACUCUCUGUUUGAAUCAAUAAGGAGCUAGUUUUCUCAUUCAC